GUCCUUGUCGAUUAGUGGUUAGAUCAUCACGUUGUGGUCACUCUGGUGCAGAACCGUGAAGACGGAGGCUCGAAUCCUCCCUGGGACA